GAGUUUGAUCAUGGCUCAGAUUGAACGCUGGCGGCAUGCCUUACACAUGCAAGUCGAACGGCAGCAUGAUCUAGCUUGCUAGAUUGAUGGCGAGUGGCGAACGGGUGAGUAAUACAUCGGAACGUGCCCUGUAGUGGGGGAUAACUAGUCGAAAGAUUAGCUAAUACCGCAUACGACCUGAGGGUGAAAGUGGGGGACCGCAAGGCCUCAUGCUAUAGGAGCGGCCGAUGUCUGAUUAGCUAGUUGGUGGGGUAAAGGCCCACCAAGGCGACGAUCAGUAGCUGGUCUGAGAGGACGAUCAGCCACACUGGGGACUGAGACACGGCCCAGACUCCUACGGGAGGCAGCAGUGGGGAAUUUUGGACAAUGGGCGAAAGCCUGAUCCAGCAAUGCCGCGUGUGUGAAGAAGGCCUGG
rnacentral:rRNA from 1 species